UACGGAGGGUGCGAGCGUUAAUCGGAUUUACUGGGCGUAAAGCGAGCGUAGGCGGUGGUAUAAGUUGGAUGUGAAAGCCCGGGGCUUAACCCCGGAACUGCAUCCAAAACUGUAUUACUAGAGUAUGGUAGAGGGAGGUAGAAUUUCCGGUGUAGCGGUGAAAUGCGUAGAGAUCGGAAGGAAUACCAGUGGCGAAGGCGGCCUCCUGGACUAAUACUGACGCUGAGGUUCGAAAGCGUGGGGAGCAAACAGG
rnacentral:rRNA from 1 species